GGAGAGGUGCUAGAGUGGCCGAAUAGGCGCGACUGGAAAUCGCGUGUCGUCUUUAUGGGCGACCGUGGGUUCGAAUCCCACCCUCUCCGCCA
rnacentral:tRNA from 3 species